rnacentral:misc_RNA from 1 species
AACUUUCAACAAUGGAUCUCUUGGCUCUCGCAUCGAUGAAGAACGCAGCGAAAUGCGAUAAGAAAUGUGAAUUGCAGAAUUCAGUGAAUCAUCGAAUCUUUGAACGCAUCUUGCGCUCCUUGGUAUUGCGAGGAGCAUGCCUGUUUGAGUGUCAUUCAACUUCUCAACCAUAUUGAUUGUGUCUUGGAUGGAUGGGGUCUGUUUUGCAGGGUUCUUCUGUAAAAAAGAAAGGUCGGCUCCCCUGAAAUGUAUUAGUGGUAUCUGACGCUAUUACUAUAGGUGUGCUAAUUAUCUAUGCCCUUGGUAUGCUGCAUGAACUGCUUCCAACAGAGAGGACCCUUUUGAUGAAUUUGACCGCAAAUCAGGUAGGACUACCCGCUGAACUUAAGCAUAUCAAUAAGCGGAGGCU